CAAAUUAUAGCUUAAUUAAGUAAUUUAUUUACACUAAAAAGAUCAUUAUAAUAUAAUGUAAUUUGA
rnacentral:tRNA from 1 species